CCCAGCCCAGACUAACAGAACAGUAUGAGGUAGAACCACCCCCAGUGCAGACUAACAGAACAGUAUGUGGUAGUACCAAACCCAGCCCAGACUAACAGAACAGUAUGUGGUAGUACCAGCCCCAGCCCAGACUAACAGAACAGCAUGAGGUAGACCCAGCCCCAGCCCAGACUAACAGAACAGUAUGACGUAGAACCCGCCCCAGCCCAGACUAACAGAACAGUAUGAGGUAGAACCACCCCAGCGCAGACUAACAGAACAGUAUGAGGGAGAACCAGCCACAGCCCAGACUAACAGAACAGUAUGAGG
ensembl:lncRNA